rnacentral:rRNA from 1 species
AACGAACGCUGGCGGCAGGCUUAACACAUGCAAGUCGAACGCCCCGCAAGGGGAGUGGCAGACGGGUGAGUAACGCGUGGGAAUCUACCGUGCCCUACGGAAUAGCUCCGGGAAACUAGAAUUAAUACCGUAUACGCCCUACGGGGGAAAGAUUUAUCGGGGUAUGAUGAGCCCGCGUUGGAUUAGCUAGUUGGUGGGGUAAAGGCCUACCAAGGCGACGAUCCAUAGCUGGUCUGAGAGGAUGAUCAGCCACAUUGGGACUGAGACACGGCCCAAACUCCUACGGGAGGCAGCAGUGGGGAAUAUUGGACAAUGGGCGCAAGCCUGAUCCAGCCAUGCCGCGUGAGUGAUGAAGGUCUUAGGAUUGUAAAGCUCUUUCACCGAUGAAGAUAAUGACGGUAGUCGGAGAAGAAGCCCCGGCUAACUUCGUGCCAGCCGCCGCUGUAAUAC